GGUCUUCGGACUGGGCGGCCAGCGAAAGUGAUAAGUAUCCCACCUGGGGAGUACGUUCGCAAGAAUGAAACUCAAAGGAAUUGACGGGGGCCCGCACAAGCGGUGGAGCAUGUGGUUUAAUUCGAUGAUACGCGAGGAACCUUACCAGGGCUUAAAUGUAAGUUGCAUAGAGUGGAGACAUUCUUUUCUUCGGACCACUUACAAGGUGCUGCAUGGUUGUCGUCAGCUCGUGCCGUGAGGUGUCAGGUUAAGUCCUAUAACGAGCGCAACCCCUACCGUUAGUUGCCAGCAUGUCAAGGUGGGGACUCUAACGGGACUGCCGGUGCAAACCGUGAGGAAGGUGGGGAUGACGUCAAAUCAUCACGGCCCUUACGUCCUGGGCUACACACGUGCUACAAUGGCCGGUACAGCGGGAAGCCACUGCGCAAGCAGGAGCGGAUCCACAAAACCGGUCACAGUUCGGAUCGGGGUCUGCAACUCGACCCCGUGAAGCUGGAAUCGCUAGUAAUCGGAUAUCAGCCAUGAUCCGGUGAAUACGUUCCCGGGCCUUGUACACACCGCCCGUCAAGCCAUGGAAGCCGGGGGUGCCUGAAGUCCGUCACCGUAAGGAGCGGCCUAGGGCAAAAUUGGUAACUAGGGCUAAGUCGUAACAAGGUAGCCG
rnacentral:rRNA from 1 species